UAUGAUAUACGCAAUACGUGUUUCUAGUUACAGACAGCCGAUUGUUUUCCGAAAAAUCCGACCAAAGAUGUUGGUGUAUAUUUUUGUUAUAGCGUAUUUCCUACCAUUGACACAAUCAGGAUGUUCUAAAGGUUGUUGGGCCGACUCUCACAACACGAUCUGUUUAUAAGACACUGCUAUGCAGGGACGAGAAGGUAUGCUGAUAAGCUACUCUCUUAAGAUUCCAUUUUCUCGAAUCUGCUGUGAAGCACUCAGCUGUACUUUGAAUACCGGAAGGUGUCAGUUCGAGAAUGCUGGUUGUCAUGACAACACGACAGUAUCUAUCAUGACCACACCACGGCCUUGGGAACUUCCAAACAUACCAACAAUGAUGAGGUGCACAGAUAAACUCGGGACAGGUGCAUUUUAUUGGUUUACACCGAAUGUGGUGGAGAUUAAAAACCCAUUUCCUAAAUAGACGAUUUAAUGCUUAAUACGACUCGAAACAUGCUACUUAUAGCAAAAUUUCAUUCUGUAACAAAUAUCGGUUUUACAGCUGUGUACUUUUCCAAAUGUAUUCACCUGAUAUUUAUAACAAACGACAUUGUAAUGCCCCGGUCACAUAUUCACGGAUAAUGCCACGGAAGAGCUACGGUCUAAUUGUCCAAGGAUUACUACGGAAAUGUGAAAUUCCGUAGUCCGCUACGGUUCCAGUACGGACACACAACGGUAUGAGUACGGAGUCCGACGGAUUUACCACCAAAAGUCGCCGGAGAGACACGGAUUGUUACGGACCGACACGGUUUGAUACGGAGCGACACGAAUCAGGACGGACGCACUACGGACACACUACGGUCUACUACGGUAUAAGCACGGGUUAGUACGAAUAAGUACGGUCUGAUACGGAGAAGAACGUAUUGAUACGGAGAAGAACGAAUUGCCACGGAUCUAUACGGAACUAAAUAUCUGUCCAUAAUCUCUUGCUUGCUUAUUUUCAAAAUGACUCAAAAGAAAAGAACACCUAGAAAACGAAUUGCAGCGUUCAAUGAUUUUGGCGAAGAGGAUUCAGCCUAAUCGCGUCCGAACCCCGAGACACAUCAGGUCUGAUUAAAGUGACUUUCUUGAAGGACGCUGGAUCCUCAACAAUUUUGGCCAUGAGAGCCUCAUACUAAACAUGAAGCGGUCUUCGUAAAAGCCCAUUUCUAGUCCAUCAUCUCGUCUGUCUUCUCUUACCUGAUUACAUUAAUUAUCGUGAUGUUUAUGUUUUAAAAAUAUGUGAAAAGCUUGUUAAUUAAUCUUAUUAUCACUCAAGGGCCAGUGUCCGAGGCUUAUGAGACACUUCGUUUUAUGUACAUAUUUACUCCAUUUUCAGGAUCCAAUGUUUGUAAAAUAUGUAACAUUAAAUGUUAUUCUAUUUCUUAUGAAUUGUAGUACGAUAUUAAUAUAAAUUUACUUCUAUGGAUGUCAUCAAGCAGUUAUUUCUGCAAAUAUAUAUGUCUUUUUUUAACAAGAAGGUAGUAUUUAUACCCUUGAAAAAGUACAUGAUACUUAAUUCAUCCGUACUAAACAGUGGUGGGCCGUACCAUUCCGUACCGUUUCGUGUUGCAACGCAAUAAACCGUAUAAGACCGUGCUAAUCCUUGCCUCUCCGUAAUACAACGUAUUACGAUCGUGGCUUUCCGUGACAAUGCCGUAUUAAUCCGUAUUAAAACCGUAGCUUAUACGUAGGGUAACCGUACAAAUACGUAGUUCCUCGUACCAAACCGUGGCAAUCCUUGCCAAGUUGGUGGACUACGAAUCAGUACGGACCAGUACGUAUCGGUACGGAUUAAUACGGAUUAGUAGGGAUACGCUACGGUUGAUUUUUCCGUAGCAAAUUUUUGUGCAUGUUCAAAAAUUGUCAAGGAUCGCUACGGAUAUACAAGGACUACUACGAUUUAUUACGGUUACAAUACGGAGAGCUUCUGACCAGUACGGGUAGCUACGGACGAUGCCGUAAUUACUCCGUGGCUCUUCCGUGGGCGUCUUCCGUGAAUAUGUGACCGGGGUAUAAAAGUUGUGUUUUACAUACUAUAUACGUUCGACGGCAGUUUACAAACGUAACACAGGUAGUUGUUCUAUAAAGAAGUCAAAUAUUAAUGUUUAGUGUAUAAAAGAUGAUUAAAUGAUAUAUUUCUAAUUACAUCAUUAAUCCAGAAUAAACGUUCUAUUUUUUCAUAAGAUUUAACAAAGCUGUCACACGUUUCAUCAUUGUAAUUGUCGUUGAUUAAGUAAGAUAAUUUUAAUGUUUUAUGUUUUGUUGUAUUAUGGGGUUUAAUAUUUGUAUUCUUACAUCAAAUGAGCACGUUGUACACGUAGUAUACUUUACCAGAAAUUAGAGCAGAAUGAAUCCAUGUAAUUGGAAAAAGCACGAGAACGCGCCGUUGUUGAUAUACGUGUUCAGGGUGCCAUUCAAAAUAAGAUAUUUGUCAUCAAACAAGAACGUCAACUCGAAUGUGAGAACCAAAUAACGGAUUUCGGAAUUACAAUUUUUUAUUGGGGUGUAAGUCGUACAGUAGUGGUCAUAUGACACUUUUGAGUUUGACUGGUGAAUGGAGACCAUCCGUGCAUUAUUUCAUGCAAAAUUUGCGGAAUUACCAAGUCGGGUGUAUACUGUUAUGCAAGAAUAGGGAUAAUGCUUCGAAUUUGUAAUCCAGGUGUUGCUAUUUCCAUUCUCAGGCGAAAGAAAUAGUUUACGAGACAAUUCCUUUUCCAUUCAUUUAGAAAUCAUGCGGGCUUAAAAGUCGGUCUUUGUGGAGAAAGUGGUAAUCAUUGGUCUGUUUUCCAGGAAAGCCAGUUACUUUUUUUAAUAGGUUGACUGACCGCGGAUAAAUAUCAUAAUAAUGUAUAACAAUUGAUGUUAACACAUACCAAACAAACAAACCCAUUUCUUAAUUUCGUUUUCGAAAAGAUCAUUCAACUAGAGAGCAAUCUUUACCAUUGGUCAUUUUAAUAGUGGUCCUAAUAUUUUAUUUAUCAUCAAUUUGGAUUGAAUUAUUUGCAUGCUAUAAUACUAAGUUAAGACUUAAUAACCAAAUGGUUUAUAUAGUAUUGUUUGUCAUGCAUUACUUAUAGAAGUAAAAUGUAUGUUGAUUGUUAUUUAUAUAGUUGUUACGCGUCAAAAUCAGUAAAAAUGAGUUAAAAUCACUAAACUGCAUGAAAUAAAUAUAAAAUUUGUU